rnacentral:rRNA from 1 species
AUUGAACGCUGGCGGCAUGCCUUACACAUGCAAGUCGAACGGCAGCACGGGAGCAAUCCUGGUGGCGAGUGGCGAACGGGUGAGUAAUAUAUCGGAACGUGCCCGGUCGUGGGGAUAACGUAGCGAAAGCUACGCUAAUACCGCAUACGAUCUACGGAUGAAAGCGGGGGAUCGCAAGACCUCGCGCGAUUGGAGCGGCCGAUAUCAGAUUAGGUAGUUGGUGAGGUAAAGGCUCACCAAGCCGACGAUUUGUAGCUGGUCUGAGAGGACGACCAGCCACACUGGGACUGAGACACGGCCCAGACUCCUACGGGAGGCAGCAGUGGGGAAUUUUGGACAAUGGGCGCAAGCCUGAUCCAGCAAUGCCGCGUGCAGGAUGAAGGCCUCGGUUGUAAC